rnacentral:rRNA from 1 species
UGCGUAGGCGGCGGGGCAAGUCUGAUGUGAAAUCCCGGGGCUCAACCCCGGAACUGCAUUGGAUACUGCCUUGCUUGAGUACUGGAGAGGGAACUGGAAUUUACGGUGUAGCAGUGAAAUGCGUAGAGAUCGUAAGGAAGGCCAGUGGCGAAGGCGAGUUCCUGGACAGUUACUGACGCUGAGGCACGAAGGCCAGGGAGGCAAACG